rnacentral:lncRNA from 1 species
CGCCGCCCGACGCAACCCAGGCCCGGUCUCCCCGCCGCAGCCAAGCAGCGCCCUCGGCCGGCGCCCGCCAUCCCCGGCCCGGCCGCCCGGCCGCAGAACCUCUGUCCAUGACCAAUGGAUGACCUCAGGACAAGAAUGCAAUAACUUGGCCUGAUGUUGUGAAGUCACGGUCCAUCCAGGGAUGGGCAAGAGGAUGACCAGAACCAUCUCGAGAGGGGCUGGAAAGCUGCCUCACGUAUGUGGUCCUGUGCUGUGUCUACAUGUUCCUCACUCACCUCUACAACGCUCAUGGCACGAGGGAGGAAAUGGGGUGCAGAGGCUAAGGAACGUGCCCAAAGCCCUACAGCUGGUGUAUUAGUAAUCUACUGCUGUGUAACCAAUUGCCCCAAAAUUUAAAUGUGUA